GACGAACGCUGGCGGCGUGCUUAACACAUGCAAGUCGAACGGAAAGGCUCCAGCUUGCUGGAGUACUCGAGUGGCGAACGGGUGAGUAACACGUGGGUAAUCUGCCCUGCACUCUGGGAUAAGCCUGGGAAACUGGGUCUAAUACUGGAUAUGACCUUUCUCCUUAUGGGGUUUGGUGGAAAGUUUUUCGGUGUAGGAUGAGCCCGCGGCCUAUCAGCUUGUUGGUGGGGUGAUGGCCUACCAAGGCGACGACGGGUAGCCGGCCUGAGAGGGUGAUCGGCCACAUUGGGACUGAGAUACGGCCCAGACUCCUACGGGAGGCAGCAGUGGGGAAUAUUGCACAAAUGGGCGGAAAGCCCUGAUGCAAGCGACGCCCGCGUGAAGGGAAUGGACGGCCUUUCGGGUUG
rnacentral:rRNA from 1 species